rnacentral:tRNA from 1 species
GCUUCCGUGGCCUAAUGGUAAGGCGUGUGACUUCUACAGCGCGUUGAUUGAGAAAUCUCAAGAUGCGGUAGUACAUCCCAAGAUUGCGGGUUCGAGCCCCGCCGGAAGCU